rnacentral:rRNA from 1 species
GGGUGAGUAAUGUCUGGGAAACUGCCUGAUGGAGGGGGAUAACUACUGGAAACGGUAGCUAAUACCGCAUAACGUCGCAAGACCAAAGAGGGGGACCUUCGGGCCUCUUGCCAUCGGAUGUGCCCAGAUGGGAUUAGCUAGUAGGUGGGGUAACGGCUCACCUAGGCGACGAUCCCUAGCUGGUCUGAGAGGAUGACCAGCCACACUGGAACUGAGACACGGUCCAGACUCCUACGGGAGGCAGCAGUGGGGAAUAUUGCACAAUGGGCGCAAGCCUGAUGCAGCCAUGCCGCGUGUAUGAAGAAGGCCUUCGGGUUGUAAAGUACUUUCAGCGGGGAGGAAGGGAGUAAAGUUAAUACCUUUGCUCAUUGACGUUACCCGCAGAAGAAGCACCGGCUAACUCCGUGCCAGCAGCCGCGGUAAUACGGAGGGUGCAAGCGUUAAUCGGAAUUACUGGGCGUAAAGCGCACGCAGGCGGUUUGUUAAGUCAGAUGUGAAAUCCCCGGGCUCAACCUGGGAACUGCAUCUGAUACUGGCAAGC